rnacentral:rRNA from 1 species
UACGAAGGGGGCUAGCGUUGCUCGGAAUCACUGGGCGUAAAGGGUGCGUAGGCGGGGCUUUAAGUCAGGGGUGAAAUCCUGGAGCUCAACUCCAGAACUGCCUUUGAUACUGAGGAUCUUGAGUUCGGGAGAGGUGAGUGGAACUGCGAGUGUAGAGGUGAAAUUCGUAGAUAUUCGCAAGAACACCCGUGGCGAAGGCGGCUCUCUGGGACGGUACUGACGCUGAGACGCGAAAGCGUGGGGAGCGAACAGG